rnacentral:rRNA from 1 species
AACGAACGUUAGCGGCGCGCCUAACACAUGCAAGUCGCACGAGAAAGGGCUUCGGCCCCGGUAAAGUGGCGCACGGGUGAGUAACACGUGGGUAAUCUGCCCUCGAGCAGGGGAUAACAUUCCGAAAGGAGUGCUAAUACCGUAUAAGACCACGACCUCGAAAGAGGAUGCGGUCAAAGCUGGCCUCUAUACAUAAGCUAGCACUUGAGGAUGAGCCCGCGGCGCAUCAGGUAGUUGGUGAGGUAAUGGCUCACCAAGCCUAAGACGCGUAGCUGGUCGGAGAGGAUGAUCAGCCACACUGGAACUGAGACACGGUCCAGACUCCUACGGGAGGCAGCAGUGGGGAAUCUUGCGCAAUGGGCGAAAGCCUGACGCAGCGACGCCGCGUGAGUGAUGAAGGCCUUCGGGUUGUAAAGCUCUGUGGGGAGAGACGAAUAAGUGCAGCCUAAUACGUUGCAUGAUGACGGUAUCUCCUUAGCAAGCACCGGCUAACUCUGUGCCAGCCGCCGCUGUAAUAC